rnacentral:tRNA from 1 species
GGGCCCGUAGCUCAAACGGAUAGAGCAUUGGAUUUCUAAUCCAAGGGUUGCAGGUUCGAUUCCUGCCGGGCCUACCA